UCUGCCAAGGCGCCUAUGAGAGCCUCUUGGCUUUUACCUGGUCUGCGAGAAAUCAAACUUUGGACACAAGUCAUGAAGCCGACAAGCCCGGGAGACACAGUGUCAGAAUUACAAGGUGAGAUCAGCCGCCCGGCCAAGCUAUCUUCUCGCUAGCAGGAACACUAUAAGGCCUGUUAGAGAAGAAAGGGUAGAAUCCCGAGAAUGUUUUCCCCACAGUGCUGAUAAGGAGAGACCACUAUCCCAUCUACUGCUACAGCUCUGGAGACAUAGCUCUCCCAUCUGUCAUAUAGAACACAAGGACCAAUCUGCAGAGAAAGAGCAUCCAAACCUGAUCCAGUGGACACUGGGGAAAAACUCACCACAGCUGAGUGUGGAAAAACAAGGCCAACACACACAUCUCUGCACAGAUACAUCUCCCAUCAAGAAACUAAAGUGUUAAUUUACAGGGCACUGUUGCAGACCCACUUCAGCUGGAAGCUAGGAACAUGGACAAGGAGCCUCUCUACCACCGAGGGAGAGAGAGGAAUGUGCUCUUGUCCUGGCAUUGCAUCCACAGGAGGGGCAAGAAAUUCUUUGAAGGUUUUCAGAUCUCAUGACUACUUUAUUUUGGAGUUGCCAGACUCAGCAAAUAAAAAUACACGACACACAGUUAAGUUUAAUAUUCAGAAAGAAAACUGUGGUGGGAAAUCAGGGACCCCAAACAGAGGGACCAGCUGAAGCCAUGGCAGAAGAACAAGGAUUGUGAAGAUUUCAUGGACAUUUAUU
rnacentral:lncRNA from 1 species